CGUAACACGUGAGCAAUCUACCGAAAUGAGGGGGGAUAGCCGGCCCAACGGCCGGGUAAUACCGCAUACGCUCUAGACCAGGCAUUUGGACUAGAGGAAACCUCCGGGGCAUUUCGAGGAGCUCGCGGCCUAUCAGCUAGUUGGUGAGGUAACGGCUCACCAAGGCGACGACGGGUAGCUGGUCUGAGAGGAUGGCCAGCCACAUUGGGACUGAGAUACGGCCCAG
rnacentral:rRNA from 1 species